GAUGAAGAACGCAGCGAAAUGCGAUAAGUAAUGUGAAUUGCAGAAUUCAGUGAAUCAUCGAAUCUUUGAACGCACAUUGCGCCCGGCAGUAAUCUGCCGGGCAUGCCUGUCCGAGCGUCAUUUCAGCCCUCGAGCCACUAUUUCUUGGUGGACCGGUGUUGGGGCACUGCGGUAAAGCGCAGGCCCCGAAAUGCAGUGGCGGUCCCGCCCGCGGCGCCCGAUGCGUAGUAACGUACAGUCUCGCAUCGGCCCCCGGCGGAGGCCAGCCGUCAAGCCUAUUCUCUCAGAUGGUUUGACCUCGGAUCAGGUAGGGUUACCCGCUGAACUUAAGCAUAUCAAUAAGCGGAGGA
rnacentral:misc_RNA from 1 species